rnacentral:rRNA from 1 species
GACGAACGCUGGCGGCGUGCCUAAUACAUGCAAGUAGGACGCAGUUGCGAACGGGUGAGUAACGCGUAGGUAACUGCCCAUUAGAGGGGGAUAACUAUUGGAAACGAUAGCUAAUACCGCAUACUAGUAGAUGGACCUGCGUUGUAUUAGCUAGUAGGGAGGGUAAUGGCCGACCUAGGCGACGAUACAUAGCCGACGUGAGAGGGUGAUCUGCCAAAACGGGACUUAGACACGGCCCAAACUCCGACGGGAGGCAGCAGUAGGGAAACUUCGGCAAUGGGGGGAACCCUGACCGAGCAACGCCGCGUGAGUGAAGAAGGUUUUCGGAUCGUAAAGCUCUGUUGUUAAGGAAGCGGUACUUAACCAGAAAGGGACGGCUAACUACGUGCCAGCAGCCGCGGUAAUUC